rnacentral:rRNA from 1 species
UACGGGGGGGGCAAGCGUUGUUCGGAAUUACUGGGCGUAAAGGGCUCGUAGGCGGCCAACUAAGUCAGACGUGAAAUCCCUCGGCUUAACCGGGGAACUGCGUCUGAUACUGGAUGGCUAGAGGUUGGGAGAGGGAUGCGGAAUUCCAGGUGUAGCGGUGAAAUGCGUAGAUAUCAAGAGGAACACCAGUGGCGAAGGCGGGUCCCUGGACAACACCUGACACUGAGGCACGAAAGCUAGGGGAGCAAACGGG